AUUGAACGCUGGCGGAAUGCUUUACACAUGCAAGUCGAACGGCAGCACGGACUUCGGACUGGUGGCGAGUGGCGAACGGGUGAGUAACAUAUCGGAACGCAUCCAAUAAUGGGGGAUAACUAAUCGAAAGGUUGGCUAAUACCGCAUACGCCCUACGGGGGAAAGCAGGGGAUCUUCGGACCUUGCGUUAAUGGAGCGGCUGAUAUCUGAUUAGCUAGUUGGUGAGGUAAAGGCUCACCAAGGCGACGAUCAGUAGCUGGUCUGAGAGGACGACCAGCCACACUGGAACUGAGACACGGCCCAGACUCCUACGGGAGGCAGCAGUGGGGAAUUUUGGACAAUGGGCGCAAGCCUGAUCCAGCCAUUCCGCGUGAGUGAAGAAGGCCUUCGGGUUGUAAAGCUCUUUCGCAAGGGAAGAAAACUUACUUUCUAAUAAAGAGUGAGGUUGACGGUACCUUGAUAAGAAGCACCGGCUAACUACGUGCCAGCAGCCGCAGUAA
rnacentral:rRNA from 1 species